rnacentral:rRNA from 1 species
GACGAACGCUGGCGGCGUGCUUAACACAUGCAAGUCGAACGGAAAGGCCCUGCUUUUGUGGGGUGCUCGAGUGGCGAACGGGUGAGUAACACGUGAGUAACCUGCCCCUGACUUUGGGAUAACUUCAGGAAACUGGGGCUAAUACCGGAUAGGAGCUCCUGAUGCAUGGUGGGGGUUGGAAAGUUUCGGCGGUUGGGGAUGGACUCGCGGCUUAUCAGCUUGUUGGUGAGGUAGUGGCUUACCAAGGCUUUGACGGGUAGCCGGCCUGAGAGGGCGACCGGCCACAUUGGGACUGAGAGACGGCGCAGACUCCUACGGGAGGCAGCAGUGGGGAAUAUUGCACAAUGGGCGGAAGCCUGAUGCAGCGACGCCGCGUGCGUGAUGACGGCCUUCGGGUUGUAAACCGCUUUCGCCGGUGACGAAGCGUGAGUGACGGUAAUGGGUAAAGAAGCACCGGCUAACUACGUG